AUUGAACGCUGGCGGCAGGCCUAACACAUGCAAGUCGAACGGUAACAGGAAGCAGCUUGCUGCUUCGCUGACGAGUGGCGGACGGGUGAGUAAUGUCUGGGAAGCUGCCUGAUGGAGGGGGAUAACUACUGGAAACGGUAGCUAAUACCGCAUAAUGUCGCAAGACCAAAGAGGGGGACCUUCGGGCCUCUUGCCAUCGGAUGUUCCCAGAUGGGAUUAGCUUGUUGGUGGGGUAACGGCUCACCAAGGCGACGAUCCCUAGCUGGUCUGAGAGGAUGACCAGCCACACUGGAACUGAGACACGGUCCAGACUCCUACGGGAGGCAGCAGUGGGGAAUAUUGCACAAUGGGCGAAAGCCUGAUGCAGACAUGCCGCGUGUAUGAAGAAGGCCUUCGGGUUGUAAAGUACUUUCAGCGGGGAGGAAGGGAGUAAAGUUAAUACCUUUGCUAAUUGACGUUACCCGAAGAAGAAGCACCGGCUAACUCCGUG
rnacentral:rRNA from 1 species